GCCGAGAUAGCUCAGCUGGUAGAGCACUUGUCUGAAGAACAAGGGGUCCCCAGUUCGAUCCUGGGUCUCGGCA
rnacentral:tRNA from 1 species